CCUACGGGAGGCAGCAGUGGGGAAUAUUGGGCAAUGGGCGCAAGCCUGACCCAGCAACGCCGCGUGAAGGAAGAAGGCUUUCGGGUUGUAAACUUCUUUUCUCAGGGACGAAGCAAGUGACGGUACCUGAGGAAUAAGCCACGGCUAACUACGAGCCAGCAGCCGCGGUAAUACGUAGGUGGCAAGCGUUAUCCGGAUUUACUGGGUGUAAAGGGCGUGUAGGCGGGAGUGCAAGUCAGAUGUGAAAACCACGGGCUCAACCUGUGGCCUGCAUUUGAAACUGUAGUUCUUGAGUAAGGGAGAGGCAUGCGGAAUUCCUGGUGUAGCGGUGAAAUGCGUAGAUAUUAGGAGGAACACCGGUGGCGAAGGCGGUCUGCUGGACAGCAACUGACGCUGAGGCGCGAAAGCGUGGGGAGCAAACAGGAUUAGAUACCCUUGUAGUC
rnacentral:rRNA from 1 species